rnacentral:snRNA from 10 species
GUAUUUACCUGGCGGGGAAAACACCAAGAUCACAAAGGUGGUUUUCCCAGGGCAAGGUUCAUCCAUUGCACUCCAGAUGUGCUGACCCCUGCGAUUUCUUCAUAUGUGGGGAACUGCACUCACACUC